ensembl:lncRNA
UUAAAAAUAAAUAAAACAAAUGGGUGGUUGAUAAACUUUUUCUUGUUUAUGAGUUUAGAGAAGCAUCUGAUCUAGAAGGACUUCCUCCUGGAGACAGAGAUCAUCUGAGAAGCUUAUGAACCUAUUGGAUUGCAGGCCUGCCAGCAGCUGAAGCCCAUUCUGUCAGAGUUAUUGCCAUUCUGUAAGCAUAAGCGGCUAGCAUUCUCUGUGGAGCUGUGUCAGCAGCUUAUCUGGUUAUUGCUUAACCGGUUUCCUUGAAAUUAUUGCUGUACUAUGAAGAAAAGUUUUGAAGGCUGUGAUUAACAAGUAGCUCCACCCGGUUGUUGUGGGAACUGUGAAUAAAAUUCCUACUUGUUGGUGCUUGUAAAGCAAGAAUUGGGGUAAUCAGUUUAACAGAUGAAUGUACUUUUUCUGAGUACAGAAUAAAAGGUAACCAAAUAUCUAAGUAUCUGUCCGCUGUUUUGUGGUACGUAACUGAUGUCUUAAUUUUUCCAUAACUACAGCCGCCCAUAUUUUUUUGAACCA